rnacentral:lncRNA from 1 species
AGGCGGCGCGCGCGUUGAACAGGAAGUGCGCGGCGUGCGGCGCCACUGUCCCACUCCACGCGGCCCACGCUGCCCCCGGGUGGUCGCCGUGCACUCUCUGUCUCAAGGUAGGCCAGCUCCGGACUCGCCAGGAGCUGAUUCUGAUCCAUCUGGUUUUGCUGUGUCUCUGUUUAGGUCCAGCCCCCGGAAACACACACCCGCAGCCCGACCACGCCACGAUUGAAGCCCCGGGUCAAAGUGGUUCGGGUGACCGCACUCGCUUCUCGCAACGCCGCCCCCCUGCGGCGUAGGGAACCCCAUCCUGUCCAGAGCGGCCUGUGGCGUGGUGAGUGCAGGCUUUUCUCCACAACUUGGUUCUUUUCAGAUUCAUCAAAGAUUGCGCAACAAACCUUGAUCUUUGGCAAAGGCGCUCUGGUCUCAGUAAAUGCUGAAGUCCUAAAACCACGAGAGGAAAUGGGUGCGUCGGAGCCUGAAACCAGGGCGAACACGCCACGUGCUCCCGGAUCUUCAGAGCCACUGGCUGCAGAUCUGGUACUGCGGGCUGCUCAGGGCCCUGGUGUUCCUCCCAGGCAGCAGGACCUUGGCUUCUGGUCUGAGUGAGGGGCGUGCUUCCUCUCCUGCUCAGAAUUGAAUACCGGCUGACCCCAGUGAUCACUCCAGCUCUUUGAAGCUAACAUCAGCCCACCUGCUCCCUGUAAACAGUAAUACACGGACAGUACCUAUAGCAUAAACGUGAUAGGGGUUCCUUUGACGAAGACAUGACACGGGUAAGGAGAUGGCCUUUACUCCUCUUCCUGCUCUCCCACCGUAGAGGAUGUGGUUACCACUUUAAGACCAUGAUUUAGUAAAGGACCUGUCUGUCCCAUGAGAAACCCAUUGCUGGGUCCAGCAAUCCCCUGGAUUUCCACGGUACCAGCCAAGUUCCUGCAAAUUAGGUAAAACCCUACAGCUGGGGGGAAGGGGGCGAUCCUUGGUUCAUCAGGUAAGUUUGUAUACAUCCUGCUACCACACUUUCAAAACAAGAAUGAAGUACACCUCCUCCCCAGAGCCCCCAACCAGUAUCCCUAAGCAGCUUCUGGAGAGUCCUCUGAAGGUUCUAACCCGGUGUCGGUGUCGUCACCCUCCUCCCCAGCCUGGCUCCUCACUAAAGGACUCCCAGGACCCCAAAAGACAUCAUUCUACUGAGGGUUCAGACUGCUUCUUAGAAGCAGAAGUGAGAGGUUUGGAGGGACGCAAUACCAACGUCCAAGGAGGCUACCCUCAGCCACUAAAAAAAGAAAAGAAAAAAUCACUCCAGGUUUGUCAAGUGUUCUCUCUCUGUAGGUUGGAAUGUUCAUCUCUUCAUGAUGGUGUGCCAGGAUGCAUAAAUGGUACCAUGUGAUGAGAAAGAAGUGGCUUUGAAAGAAGCAGCCAUCAGAAGAGACCAAGAAGACAGAGGAAAGGACUCUGAGGGGAACGUACAUGCUCCUUCUAUCACCACCUUUCCCUUGGGGUGUGCGUGUGUGUGUGUGUGUGUGUGUGUGUAUGUGUGUGUAGCUUGUGUGUGUGUGCACUUGCCUGUGGUAGCUUGUGUGUGUGUGUGCACUUGCCUGUGGUAGCUUGUGUGUGUGUGUAUACUUGCUUGUGGUAGCUUUGUGUGUGUGUGUGUAUGUGUGUAUACUUGCCUGUGGUAGCUUGUGUGUGUGUGUGUGUGUGCACUUGCCUGUGGUAGCUUGUGUGUGUGUGUGUGUGUAUGUGUGUGUGUGUGUGUGUGCACUUGCCUGUGGUAGCUUGUGUGUGUGUGUGUGUGUGUGUGCACUUGCCUGUGGUAGCUUGUGUGUGUGUGUGUGUGUGUGCACUUGCCUGUGGUAGUUUGUAAAUAUCAGAGGCUGAGAGGCUGAUUUCAGGAUAUCCUCUUUAAUCCUCUCUCAAACCUUUUUGUUGUUAUUUUGUUUGUUUGUUUGUUUGUUUGUUUGUGGGUAGUUUGUUUUGUUUUUUCAAGACGGUGAUUUUCUGUGUAGCCCUGGCUGUUCUGGACACUCAAAGACCUGCCUGUCUCUGCCUCCCAAGGGCUGGGAUUAAAGGAUUUAAAUCUCUUGAUUUUA